ACAAAUUGGACCUAAUUUUGUCUGGUAAAAACUUAUUGCUUUUAUUUGGAUGGUUACACUCUCCAAAUUUUCUUUUUAUGUGUGAUAAGUGAUCUUGUUGCUAAUAAAAAAUGUGUUUAUUUUGAAUUUUCAUAGGUGGGUGGUAGCUCAAAGUGUCUUCUACCACUUGUAUAAUCAGGUUUCAUACAUGUCUCUGGAUCAAAUUUCUCCCUUGACAUUUAGCAUCGGAAACACAAUGAAGCGAAUUUCGGUUAUAGUCUCUUCCAUCAUCAUCUUCCACACACCUGUUCAGCCUGUCAAUGCCCUUGGAGCUGCCAUUGCAAUCCUUGGAACCUUUCUUUAUUCACAGGUAUAUUUUCCCUUUCAAAGUUGUUUUUGAAAUUUUGGGACCAAGGUUUGUUACCUGGCUUUCUAACUCUUUCUUGUUUUAACGGUUAAUAAUGUAUGUUUUGAGCAGGCAAAGCAGUGAGAUUUGAAGAUUUUGGUGAACUUACAUAAACAUAAAAUGUUGAUGUUGCGGAUGAUCCUUAUUGAAGCUACAAUUUUAUUCUUUAUUGAUACUAUCAACUAGUAGAUUUUAUCUAAAUUUCUUUAUUUUUGUACCGUUUUAUUCCUUGAUAGAUAAUAAUAACUAGUAGAUUUUACUUAAAAUUUCUUUCAAUUUUUAUAAAUUGUAAAAAAAAUAAUAAUAAAUUUACUGAAUGUCAUGAUCGAUAGUAUCUAGAAACUACAAAGAAAAAAUGUAAAACAAAAAAAUGUCUAAAAGAACAUAUUAACUAAAGGAAAAUGUUACAUGGCAUGCUAUUAUUUUCGAAAUUGAAAGUCAAACUUAAUAACCUUUCAUAGACAUAAUUAUCUCUUUUUCAAAUAUCCUAUUAACUAAAAUAUCUCAUUCUUGAUUUCAAAAAAUGGUAUAAGUUCGAUCGUUCGAUCAACUUGAACCAGUUUUAAGUGUUUUUCAUGUGAAUAGGAAGGUUUUAGAAUUAUUGAUUUUACCUUUUCUUUAAUAAAAACACUAUUUUAAAAUAAUAGCAUUUUAAUUUUCUUUAAAUAGAUCAAGAACAAUUAAGUUUCGUUUUAUUGAUAUUUUUAUUUACUUUUUAACUUAUGUUAUUUAUUCAAAAAAUACAUAUUUUAUAUAUAAAUAAAUUAGUAGGUAUAAAAAAUACAUGUUUCAAUUUUUUAUUAAUUUGAUUAUAAAUUUUGAAUAUUAAACAUAUAUUAAAAUAACAAAAUAAAUUAAAUUAAAUAAGUAAUUAAAAUCAAACCCAAAUAAAUUAAACCAAUUUUACUCACAUUCAAUCAAUUUAUUCGAUUAAAAAGAAUUAAUACUACUCAUGGUUAGUGCUGCACGCCUUAUUCUAGAGCCCGGUAUGCUUGCAACUUGCUCCAGCCGGAAAGACGUGUCUUGGAGCAACCGGUAAUUCGUUUUAGAAAGGGAUAGAAUGUUUGACAUUGAACCUCCCUGUUUCAUAUCAUGAAUUGAAAUUCAUCGAUGAGAAUGAAAUGGAAAAAGAGCUACGUGCAGUUCUGAGCAAAACAAGUGCUUUGAAGGAAUUUGAAGUACAUCUAUGGAACAAAAAAACGAGUUAUGGAUCUUGGAGAAGAGAAUGAAGUUUCAGGAAAUGGUUUAUUUUAAAUGAAUGACAGAAUCAGACAGAUAAUUAGUGUUGCUUGCUCUGAAUGCAUUGCGAAUGCUGAUAGGUUUUACAUUUGCAAACUUGUGAGGGUAAAGGAUAUGAUGCCAAACUCUUCGAUCAUGGUCUAAUUCCCUAUCCCAAAGGAUCGUGGCCACUUGCAGCCAUGAGGGGUUGGUGAAUUGUUUACAAUAUCACACCCCAAUCACCAAGCGAAAGCCUACACCACUUCAUUGGCUGUUGGGAUUGUUUUGGCAACUCUCUAUGACCCGUCUGCAACUUCCCAUUGGGUCCAAAGGACACGCACCGGCUGCACAUGCGGAAAGCUCACGUGACUAUACAACACUUACAUCCCUUUCCCGCCUAACCCCAACACCAAUUGCUGACCCAGUUUACAGCCCCUUCCGUCCAAUGUCACAACAAAGACACCACGAACAAAACAAAAACUGCCACUGUUGAAAUGUCAAUGCCAAUUGUCCCAACUGGAGCACCUUCUUUUACACCUUGCAGCGGCCGUCAAAACUGAUUUUGCUUUUCCCAGUUAGAAAAUUUUUUGAUCCGUUCAAAUGAUCAACGAUCAGAAACGCAACUUGACAACAAGUGUUGAUAUGGGUCUGUCUCUUUCAGUAAGAUUUUUUUUUUCUUUUCUUCUAGCUUGGAAUCAAUCAACAAAACUCAGGAGAUUGUCUGUACAUGCUCAAUCGUGGGAGCUGCUGCAAGCAAAUUAGCGGUGAAGAAUUGAGAGCAUGGCAUGGGCUGUUACCUCAGUCUGAGAUACAGUUUUUGGGAACUUGAUGGCUGCAUUGCAUCUCUGAUUUGUUCCAAAUUGGAAAUAGAAAUAGUGGCUGCAAUGGUUUCUGUGGGGCAGAAGGAGUGGGAAAAUAUCACGGGAAAGUUCUCAAUCCUUUUGGUUGCAACAAGCUAGCAACCGUGAAUUUGUCAAUCAGGGAGGGGAGCUUGAUUUGACCAUAUAUUCAAGAAACACAGUGGGAAAUUUCAUGCAAGGUUUGCAGCUGGAAAAUGUUUGAGAGAAAAUCAUGGCUGAUAUUUUUUCUAGUUUUCUGAUAGUUACAAGAUUCAGUCAGGACAAAUAGUAUGAAGUCUACGAUUUCAAUUUGCACACAUGUACACGGUGCAUAAAGUGGCAUGUUUUACUAAUGUGGAAAGUCCAAGUCUUUCCUUCCCCUAUCAUUUUCAAUAUUUUUUUAAAAAAUAAAUAAUGGUUUUCGAGAUGGUAAUAAUUCAUGUAUUGUUAGUAUAUAAAUUUAUACAUUAUCACUUCUUAGAAAAAGAAAAAAAUUUAUAUAACAUAAAAUUACAUUUAUUACAAAAAUUAAUGAUAUAUAUAUAUAUAUAACUCUAAUUAAGUAUGAGACUUAUUUAGAUAAAUAGGUACAUUGGAUAUGAAAAGAUUCAAAAGUUGAAAAAUAUAGUAAUAUUCACAUAUAUUUUCAUAAUAAAAAUUAUUUAUUUUAAAAAAUAUUUUAUAACCAAUUAUAAUGUAUAAGUAUUGUAUAUUAAUAUUGCAUCAAAUAUAACUUAUUUUAAAAAUAAAAUUCUCUUGUUUUAUUAUGUUUUCCACUCAAUUUUAGAAAAAAAACACAAUUAUUAGAGACUUAAUAAAAAAUUUAAAAAAUAAGAUAUUUUUUUACAAAAAGAAAAAAAAUACUUUUAUAAUUUCGAAAAUAUCUAUCCGUGAGCAACUAAAAACCAAACCACCAGCGAAAAACCCCUUGCCGCGUCAUACAGUCAUCUUAUUUCCUCUGCUCUCCUCUGUUCUCCCCUAUAAAAUCCCCUCUCUUCUCUGCCACUCUUUUCUCCGCAAGACAAACCUUUCCUUUCCUUCUUGUAUUCUCUUACCUUAUUCUCUCCUCUAGUUAAACUCAAUUCUCUUGCAUUCAUAUUUGAAACUCUGCAUUGUGUUUCUUUAAAAAAAAACCAUGAUUUCUUCAAUAAAACACUCCACAUCUGCUUUCAAUUCCACAAGUUUCUUUUCCAAGAAACGUUCAAUCACCAGGCCACAAUUCUCCCCAUUACCCGUUAUCAAGAACGUCCAUAAUGGCUUCCCCAACCAAUCUUGCUCUUAUCAAAAACCUCUGCACGUUGCCGCCAUUGAGAAUCUUGCAAUAUUGAAAAAAACCCAGCAGAGGAAAAUAGAGUGUCAGGCUUAUGAAGCUGACAGGUCUAGGCCUCUGGACAUAAAUAUUGAGUUACCAGAGAUAAAGAUUGGGAUUUACUUUGCUACUUGGUGGGCUUUGAAUGUGGUUUUCAAUAUAUAUAACAAGAAGGUUUUGAAUGUCUUUCCUUAUCCUUGGCUUACCUCUACUCUGUCUCUGGCCGCUGGCUCUCUUAUGAUGCUUAUAUCUUGGGUCACGAGGGUUGCUGAUGCUCCUAAGACCCAUUUUGAGUUUUGGAAGACCCUUUUCCCUGUAAGUUUUAACUCUUAUAACUCUUUCCCUUAAAUCGCUUUUGGACUUACUUUAAAGAAAAGAUGAGAAAUUUGAAUUUGAAUGCUGUUUUUUUUGUCAUGUAAGACGUCAGAAAGACAAAAAGAAAGAAAAAGCUUGGAAUUUUAAGUUACAAAAUAGAGUAUGUGAAGGUAAGAAAUGCUGAUUUACUUCUCUGUUUGGUGGGCUAUGUGUUUCAGGUUGCGGUGGCACAUACUAUAGGGCAUGUAGCAGCAACUGUGAGCAUGUCAAAAGUUGCAGUUUCAUUCACUCAUAUCAUUAAGAGUGGUGAACCUGCUUUCAGUGUUUUGGUUUCAAGAUUUCUGUUAGGGGAGGCAUUUCCAUUACCAGUUUACUUGUCACUCUUGCCAAUUAUUGGAGGUUGUGCACUUUCAGCAGCAACUGAGCUCAAUUUCAACAUGACUGGUAAGAGAACAUGAUUACUUUUUUCCCCUAUAAUAGAAAUUUUGUGUCUGAGGUACUGAGUUUGUGUUGCUAUGUGUUUCAGGUUUCAUGGGGGCUAUGAUAUCCAAUUUAGCAUUCGUGUUUCGGAACAUUUUCUCAAAGAUAGGGAUGAAGGGGAAGUCUGUUAGUGGGAUGAACUACUACGCAUGUUUAUCAAUGUUGUCUCUAUUGAUUCUUACACCUUUUGCAAUUGCUGUUGAGGGUCCUCAGCUCUGGGCUGUUGGCUGGCAGAAGGCAGUCUCACAAAUUGGACCCAAUUUUGUAUGGUAAGUACUAUUACCUCUUUCAGUCUCUUUUAUUGCUCUUGCCUCAUUCCUACGUGAUGUGAUUAUUUUACUUCAAAAUAAGUUUUUUUUCCUCUUUCAAUCUGUUGCUAAGAAAAAAUUGUGGUUCUAAAUUUUUACAGGUGGGUGGUAGCUCAGAGCGUCUUCUACCACUUGUAUAAUCAGGUUUCAUACAUGUCUUUGGAUCAAAUUUCUCCCUUAACAUUUAGCAUCGGAAAUACAAUGAAGCGAAUUUCGGUUAUAGUCUCC
rnacentral:lncRNA from 1 species